GCAUCUUCUUGUUAUUAAAGAAUUUCGAUAACCGAUGGGGAUGCGUUCCAUUAGUUUGUUGGCGGGGUAACGGCCCACCAAGACAUCGAUGGAUAGGGGUUCUGAGAGGAAGGUCCCCCACAUUGGAACUGAGACACGGUCCAAACUCCUACGGGAGGCAGCAGUGAGGAAUAUUGGUCAAUGGACGAGAGUCUGAACCAGCCAAGUAGCGUGAAGGAUGACUGCCCUAUGGGUUGUAAACUUCUUUUAUAUGGGAAUAAAGUGAGCCACGUGUGGCUUUUUGUAUGUACCAUACGAAUAAGGAUCGGCUAACUCCGUGCCAGCAGCCGCGGUAAUACGGAGGAUCCGAGCGUUAUCCGGAUUUAUUGGGUUUAAAGGGAGCGUAGGCGGACUAUUAAGUCAGCUGUGAAAGUUUGCGGCUCAACCGUAAAAUUGCAGUUGAUACUGGUCGUCUUGAGUGCAGUAGAGGUAGGCGGAAUUCGUGGUGUAGCGGUGAAAUGCUUAGAUAUCACGAAGAACUCCGAUUGCGAAGGCAGCUUACUGGACUGUAACUGACGCUGAUGCUCGAAAGUGUGGGUAUCAAACAGGAUUAGAUACCCUGGUAGUCCACACAGUAAACGAUGAAUACUCGCUGUUUGCGAUAUACAGCAAGCGGCC
rnacentral:rRNA from 1 species